rnacentral:rRNA from 1 species
UACACUCCUGCGGGAGGCAGCAGUGGGGAAUUUUGGACAAUGGGCGAAAGCCUGAUCCAGCCAUGCCGCGUGCAGGAUGAAGGCCUUCGGGUUGUAAACUGCUUUUGUACGGAACGAAACGGCCUUUUCUAAUAAAGAGGGCUAAUGACGGUACCGUAAGAAUAAGCACCGGCUAACUACGUGCCAGCAGCCGCGGUAAUACGUAGGGUGCAAGCGUUAAUCGGAAUUACUGGGCGUAAAGCGUGCGCAGGCGGUUAUGUAAGACAGUUGUGAAAUCCCCGGGCUCAACCUGGGAACUGCAUCUGUGACUGCAUAGCUAGAGUACGGUAGAGGGGGAUGGAAUUCCGCGUGUAGCAGUGAAAUGCGUAGAUAUGCGGAGGAACACCGAUGGCGAAGGCAAUCCCCUGGACCUGUACUGACGCUCAUGCACGAAAGCGUGGGGAGCAAACAGGAUUAGAAACCCGGGUAGUCCCA